rnacentral:rRNA from 1 species
CCUACGGGGGGCAGCAGUGAGGAAUAUUGGUCAAUGGGCGGGAGCCUGAACCAGCCAAGUCGCGUGAGGGACGACGGUCCUAUGGAUUGUAAACCUCUUUUGUCGGGGAACAAAGGCGCCCACGGGUGGGCGUAUGAGUGUACCCGAAGAAAAAGCAUCGGCUAACUCCGUGCCAGCAGCCGCGGUAAUACGGAGGAUGCGAGCGUUAUCCGGAUUUAUUGGGUUUAAGGGGUGCGUAGGCGGACAGUAAAGUCAGCGGUAAAAAUGCGGUGCUCAACGCCGUACAGCCGUUGAAACUGGCAGUCUAGAGUGGGCGAGAGGUAUGCGGAAUGCGUGGUGUAGCGGUGAAAUGCAUAGAGAUCACGCAGAACUCCGAUUGCGAAGGCAGCAUACCGGCGCCCUACUGACGCUGAGGCACGAAAGCGUGGGUAGCGAACAGGAUUAGAUACCCGAGUAGUC